rnacentral:rRNA from 1 species
AUUGAACGCUGGCGGCAGGCUUAACACAUGCAAGUCGAGCGGGGUGAUGGUGCUUGCACUAUCACUUAGCGGCGGACGGGUGAGUAAUGCUUAGGAAUCUGCCUAUUAGUGGGGGACAACAUUUCGAAAGGGAUGCUAAUACCGCAUACGUCCUACGGGAGAAAGCAGGGGAUCACUUGUGACCUUGCGCUAAUAGAUGAGCAUAAGUCGGAUUAGCUAGUUGGUGGGGUAAAGGCCAACCAAGGCGACGAUCUGUAGCGGGUCUGAGAGGAUGAUCCGCCACACUGGGACUGAGACACGGCCCAGACUCCUACGGGAGGCAGCAGUGGGGAAUAUUGGACAAUGGGGGGAACCCUGAUCCAGCCAUGCCGCGUGUGUGAAGAAGGCCUUAUGGUUGUAAAGCACUUUAAGCGAGGAGGAGGCUCUUUUGGUUAAUACCCAAGAUGAGUGGACGUUACUCGCAGAAUAAGCACCGGCUAACUCUGUGCCAGCAGCCGCAGUAA